rnacentral:rRNA from 1 species
AACGAACGCUGGCGGCAUGCCUAACACAUGCAAGUCGAACGAGAUCUUCGGGUCUAGUGGCGCACGGGUGCGUAACGCGUGGGAAUCUGCCCUUUGGUUCGGAAUAACAGUUGGAAACGACUGCUAAUACCGGAUGAUGACGAAAGUCCAAAGAUUUAUCGCCAGAGGAUGAGCCCGCGUAGGAUUAGCUAGUUGGUGUGGUAAAGGCGCACCAAGGCGACGAUCCAUAGCUGGUCUGAGAGGAUGAUCAGCCACACUGGGACUGAGACACGGCCCAGACUCCGACGGGAGGCAGCAGUGGGGAAUAUUGGACAAUGGGCGAAAGCCUGAUCCAGCAAUGCCGCGUGAGUGAUGAAGGCCUUAGGGUUGUAAAGCUCUUUUACCCGGGAUGAUAAUGACAGUACCGGGAGAAUAAGCUCCGGCUAACUCCGUGCCAGCAGCCGCGGUAA